rnacentral:rRNA from 1 species
AAAAGCUCUUAUAAACAAGAUAGGUAUUCCUACAUAGCUGGUCGAACCCACGGCAAAUGGAUCAUAAAGUCUUAAAAAAAGAAUAGAUACGAUUGCAUUGCAUGUAGUAACAGAUGCGAUCAUACCAGCACUAAUGCACCGGAUCCCAUCAGAACUCCGCAGUUAAGUGUGCUUGGGCGAGAGUAGUACUAAGAUGGGUGACCUCAAGAAUGUCCUCGUGUUGCAUCCCUC